rnacentral:rRNA from 1 species
CAGGUGCUUAUCCGCUGUGAGUUUUCGGGGGUCGAUUUUGGACCCCUGGGGACUGAGGGCUCCCCUUUUGGGUGAGGACAGCGGAGUGACGACGCGAUACGACCCGUCUUGAAACACGGACCAAGGAGUCUAGCGCGGGUGCGAGUCGGAGGGUGCAAGCCCGUGGGCGAAGUGAAAGCGAGUGUAAAAACGAGCAGUUUGGGGCGGCAUAAGAUCGUUGAUCUUAAGACCGACCCAGAGCAGUUGCGCUGGGACCCGAAAGAUGGUGAACUAUGCCGGAGUAGGGCAAAGCCAGAGGAAACUCUGGUGGAGGCUCGUAGCGGUGCUGACGUGCAAAUCGCUCGUCGAACUUGGGUAUAGGGGCGAAAGACUAAUCGAACCAUCUAGUAGCUGGUUCCCUCCGAAGUUUCUCUCAGGAUAGCGGGCCGACAAGUUGUUUUGUGCGGUAAAGCGAAUGAUUAGCGCACUCAGGGGCGUUUAGCCUUUGGGCGAUUCUCAAACUUUCAAUGCGCAAGGGUGCCGCUGCUUAAUUGAGCGGUACCGGUAAAAACGUCGGCCCUGUGGGCCACUUUUGGUAAGCAGAACUGGCGAUACGGGAUGAACCGUAAGCAAGGUUAAGGCGCCAAACUGCCCGCUUAUAGACCCCACAAAAGGUGUUGAUUCAUCGAGACAGCAGGACGGUGGCCAUGGAAGUCGGAAUCCGCUAAGGAGUGUGUAACAACUCACCUGCCGAAUGAAUUAGCCCUGAAAAUGGAUGGCGCUGAAGCGGGCGGCCGACACCUUGCCGUCUGGACAAGAAUUUCAGAUGAGUAGGAGGGCGUGGCGGCCGUGUCGAAGCGCGCGUGCAGACGCAUGUGGAACGGCCGCUAGUGCAGAUCUUGGUGGUAGUAGCAAGUAUUCAAGCGAGAUCCUUGAAGGGCGAAGUGG